GGGAGGCUGGCGCAAACGCAGCGGGUGGCUGGGGUAGGGGCUCAUUGGGAGCCCACGGAGCGCGGCGGCGGCUCGGGGGCCGAGUUCCCUACAACAAGGAUGGCGGUGACGGGCGCAGGGAGCGGGGCCCGGCUCUCCUUGCCUCGAGGCUCCUCUGAUUCCACUCGCGUGGCUGCGCGGCCCUGGCAGCGGCCUUCGUCCCGGGGGUGGGAGCUACACAGGGUUCCGCCCCGUCCUGGCGAGGACGCCUGAGGGGGCUCUGUGAUAAAGAAAUGGGGGCUCCGAGCAGUCAAGAAGAACAUGCCCCAAGUUAUUCGUCAGUGAGGCGGAAAUUGUGGUGUACUUGUUCCAGACCAACUAUGAAGAUAGGAUGCCCAUCCAGAAGAACGGGAAGCAUUUUCUUCCUCACCUUUGGAAAGUAAAACAAAAAAAAAAAGAAAAAUAAAAGAAAAAA
rnacentral:lncRNA from 1 species